rnacentral:rRNA from 1 species
ACGGAAGGCAGCAGUGGGGAAUAUUGCACAAUGGGGGAAACCCUGAUGCAGCAACGCCGCGUGAAGGAAGACGGUCUUCGGAUCGUAAACUUUUGUUCUUAGUGAAGAUAAUGACGGUAGCUAAGGAGCAAGCCACGGCUAACUACGUGCCAGCAGCCGCGGUAAUACGUAGGUGGCAAGCGUUGUCCGGAAUUACUGGGUGUAAAGGGAGCGCAGGCGGGAAAUCAGGUUGGAUGUGAAAUGUCGGGGCUUAACCCCGGAACUGCAUCCAAAACUGAUUUUCUUGAGUGAAGUAGAGGUAGGCGGAAUUCCGAGUGUAGCGGUGAAAUGCGUAGAUAUUCGGAGGAACACCAGUGGCGAAGGCGGCCUACUGGGCUUUAACUGACGCUGAGGCUCGAAAGUGUGGGGAGCAAACAGGAUUAGAUACCCUGGUA